rnacentral:lncRNA from 1 species
GUAUCGGGAGGUAGGAAUGAUGGGAGGUAUCUGUACUCUGUGUUCCCCAAACUAACUGUUUUCUGAUCCAGGUGUGCUAGAUGGCAUUAAUUAUACAUGUACAUUCAUACAUCAGGGCUUCUACCCCAUACCAAGUGACUCUCCCUCUUGCCUAUUCUUUUUGACGACAUAAAUCAAUAUAUAUCUGUGAACUGACUUUAUAAGAAUAUAUAACUACACAACCAUAUCUGUGUACCUCUUUCUCUCUACCCCCAGGUAUAUGUGCAAUCAGAUAUUUAUUGAACCUCUAUCAGGUUUUGUAGAACAUAAAGAAAAGGGAAAUGGGACAGAUAUGUUUUAAAAACUAACUACAGCAUAGUCUACCCAGCAUUUCCUAAUUAUCCUUUAAAACCCAACUCCUCUCUGAAGUCUUCCUUGCCUCGUCCCAAAGAAGUUUAGACAUUCCCACCUCUGUGUGUUCCCACAGAGCUUAGUAGUUAUCUCAAAUAUAUAAAUCAGUACCUAUAGUACCUAUCUUAAUGUACUGUAACUACUUGCUUAUAUAUCUGUCUCCCCCAUCAGACAAUGAACUCCCUGAGAAAAAGGGGCAGAGGCCAGGUUCAGAAAAAGACCUUCAAGUCAAUGGACGAAGGAAGUUGAAUUAAAAAACAAACUCAUGUCUGCAAGUAACUCUCAAAAGGCUUAUCAAAAAAUCGUGUGUGUGUGUGUGUGUGUGUGUGUGUGUGUGUGUGGAGGGGUGGGUACGCAAAUAUGACAAAGUGUUAACAACUAGCGAAUUUAGAUAGAGUAUAUGCAAAUAUGUUUAUUUUACUAUUCUUGCAACUUUCCUGUAAGUUUGAAAUUUUCCAUAAAAAAAAGUUGAGGGUUACAUAUAAACAUUUUGUACCAUUUUCUUUUUAACAUCUAUUAUAGGGCCUGGCACAUGAUGAUUACACAGUCUUUUAAAUUUAAAAAAAUGAAGAUGUUGAAUGGCACAGAUGAAUUCUCUUCAAUUCUCUGACAUUAUUUCUCAGAAAGAAACCAAGAUGAAGACUGGAGCUCAGAUUGCCUAAGUCUUGGAGAGACCACUGGAGAAAAUGGCUGGUAUAGAGAGAAUUUUUCCCACUAAUGGAAAUGAAUGCACAUGCAUCUUAUAACUGACAACAGAGUACUUCAACUCCCACCAUAGCCCAGAAUAUUGUUUUCUUAAUAUUAUUUUCUUGGUCGUUGAAGAGGAUGCAGCUACCUUUGCGUCUCAACAGUUCUAUAAAGGAUGCUGGUUUACUGAGGGGAAGUGCCUUAAAAGUUGGCUUAAAGGCAUCUGCUGACUCUGACCUCAUUUUGCCCAGGAGUUGGGGGAGGGAGGAAGCAACAGGCUCUGAAACAGUGGCCACAGCUAUAAAAAUCAACAGAUAAAGUCUUUACUGUGUCUAGUCCAGAAGGUUUGCUGAUUCAUGUCAUUUACCCUCAUACAAACACCACAAUUUUUAAAAAUGAAAUAAAAUAGUAGAUACCUGCUCCCAAACAUUUUC